GGGUCAGUAGGUUGGUCGUGCCACCGGUACGUACUGGUCUCGCUGAUUCCUCCUUCCUGAAGAACCGUAAUGCCAUUAAUUUGGCGUUGCGGGGAAACAGGACUGUUACUUUGAAAAAAUUAGAGUGUUUAAAGCAAGCUAACGCUUGAAUACAUUAGCAUGGAAUAAUGAAAUAGGACGAUCGAUCCUAUUUUGUUGGUUUCUAGGAUUGACGUA
rnacentral:rRNA from 1 species